GAUGAACGCUAGCGGCAGGCCUAAUACAUGCAAGUCGAACGGUGUCUUCGGACAUAGUGGCGCACGGGUGCGUAACACGUAUGCAACCUACCUUACAUUGGGGGAUAGCCUUUCGAAAGGGAGAUUAAUACCGCAUAAGACAGUAGCUGGGCAUCCAGCAGCUGUUAAAGAUUUAUCGAUGUAAGCUGGGCAUGCGUCCAAUUAGCUAGUUGGUGAGGUAACGGCUCACCAAGGCAAUGAUUGGUAGGGGAGCUGAGAGGUCAAUCCCCCACACUGGCACUGAGAUACGGGCCAGACUCCUACGGGAGGCAGCAGUAGGGAAUAUUGGGCAAUGGACGCAAGUCUGACCCAGCCAUGGCGCGUGCAGGAUGAAGGCGUUAUGCGUUGUAAACUGCUUUUAUACAGGAAGAAACGACUCUUGCGAGAGGCAUUGACGGUACUGUAUGAAUAAGCACCGGCUAACUCCGUGCCAGCCGCCGCGGUAACAC
rnacentral:rRNA from 1 species